GCUGCGAUGGCCGAGUGGUUAAGGCGUUGGACCUAAAAUCCAAUAAAGAUUCCCCACGGAGGUUCGAACCCUGCUCGCAGCG